rnacentral:lncRNA from 1 species
GUGGUCGUCUCUGAAAGAAUAUCUAAAAUAGAACCUAUAGCAAGCUGCAACCCUUCAAUUUCCAUUGGAUCAAAGAAGCGACUUGCAUUCAAUUUCUCCAAAACAUGUGCAGUAGUGCAAGCAAUAUGGCAAAGCGCGUUGUGGAUGGAAGCAUCGGAGAACAACACAUUGUGUACGAUCUCACCCAAUUUUCCACAAUACGGCAUUAAUAUAAUGCAUUUUUUCAUCAACUCAAGAACCUUCAAUGUUAUUUUCCAU